rnacentral:rRNA from 1 species
GACGAACGCUGGCGGCGUGCCUAAUACAUGCAAGUAGAACGCUGAAGAGAGGAGCUUCCUCUUCUUGGAUGAGUUGCGAACGGGUGAGUAACGCGUAGGUAACCUGCCUUGUAGCGGGGGAUAACUAUUGGAAACGAUAGCUAAUACCGCAUAACAAUGGAUGACACAUGUCAUUUAUUUGAAAGGGGCAAUUGCUCCACUACAAGAUGGACCUGCGUUGUAUUAGCUAGUAGGUGAGGUAAUGGCUCACCUAGGCGACGAUACAUAGCCGACCUGAGAGGGUGAUCGGCCACACUGGGACUGAGACACGGCCCAGACGCCUACGGGAGGCAGCAGUAGGGAAUCUUCGGCAAUGGGGGCAACCCUGACCGAGCAACGCCGCGUGAGUGAAGAAGGGUUUCGGAUCGUAAAGCUCUGUUGUAAGUCAAGAACGGGUGUGAGAGUGGAAAGUUCACACUGUGACGGUAGCUUACCAGAAAGAGACGGCUAACUACGUG